rnacentral:rRNA from 1 species
CCUACGGGUGGCAGCAGUGGGGGAUAUUGCACAAUGAGGGGAACCCUGAUGCAGCGACGCCGCGUGGGCGAUGAAGUGCUUCGGCAUGUAAAGCCCUAUCAGCAGGGAAGAAAAUGACGGUACCUGACUAAUAACCCCCUGCUAAAUACGUGCCAGCAGCCGCGGUAAUACGUAUGGGGCAAGCGUGAUCCGGAUUUACUGGGGCGAAAGGGAUCGUAGGCGGCCUGGCAAGCCUGAUGGGAAAUACCGGGGGCCAACCCCGGGUGUGCAUUGGGUACUGGCAGGCUAGAGUGACAGAGAGGCAGGCGGAAUUCCUAGUGAAGCGGUGAAAUGCGUAGAUAUUAGGAGGAACACCAGUGGCGAAGGCGGCCUGCUGGAUGGUGACUGACGCUGAGGGUCGAAAGCGUGGGGAGCAAACAGGAUUAGAUACCCGGGUAGUC